CCUACGGGUGGCAGCAGUGAGGAAUAUUGGUCAAUGGGCGCGAGCCUGAACCAGCCAAGUCGCGUGAGGGAUGACGGUCCUACGGAUUGUAAACCUCUUUUGCCGGGGAGCAAGCCUGCGCUCGUGUACGCGCGCCGAGAGUACCCGGAGAAAAAGCAUCGGCUAACUCCGUGCCAGCAGCCGCGGUAAUACGGAGGAUGCGAGCGUUAUCCGGAUUUAUUGGGUUUAAAGGGUGCGUAGGCGGGCUGCCAAGUCAGCGGUAAAAAUGCGGUGCUCAACCCUGUCGAGCCGUCGAAACUGGCAGUCUUGAGUGGGCGAGAAGUAUGCGGAAUGCGUGGUGUAGCGGUGAAAUGCAUAGAUAUCACGCAGAACGCCGAUUGCGAAGGCAGCAUACCGGCGCCCAACUGACGCUGAGGCACGAAAGCGUGGGUAUCGAACAGGAUUAGAUACCCGGGUAGUC
rnacentral:rRNA from 1 species